rnacentral:rRNA from 1 species
CGUUUCUUUGCUGGCGACCGGCGCACGGGUGAGUAACACGUAUCCAACCUGCCCUUUACUCGGGGAUAGCCUUUCGAAAGAAAGAUUAAUACCCGAUAGCAUAAUGAUUCCGCAUGGUUUCAUUAUUAAAGGAUUCCGGUAAAGGAUGGGGAUGCGUUCCAUUAGGUUGUUGGUGAGGUAACGGCUCACCAAGCCUUCGAUGGAUAGGGGUUCUGAGAGGAAGGUCCCCCACAUUGGAACUGAGACACGGUCCAA